rnacentral:rRNA from 1 species
GACAGAGGUCCCGAGCGUUAGGCGGAAUCACUGGGCUUAAAGCGUGUGUAGGCGGAUUGGUAAGUACCUUGUGAAAUCCCACGGCUCAACCGUGGAACUGCUUGGUAUACUGCUUAUCUUGGGCCACUUAGGGGUUACCGGAACAAACGGUGGAGCGGUGAAAUGCGUAGAUAUCGUUUGGAACGCCAAUGGUGAAAACAGGUAACUGGGAGUGUGCCGACGCUGAGACACGAAAGCCAGGGAGCGAACGGG